AUUUUCGCAUGGACGAAGUCUGACGGAGCACGCCGCGUGAGUGAUGAAGGUUUUCGGAUCGUAAAGCUCUGUUGUUAGGGAAGAACAAGUACCGUUCGAAUAGGGCGGUACCUUGACGGUACCUAACCAGAAAGCCACGGCUAACUACGUGCCAGCAGCCGCGGUAAUACGUAGGUGGCAAGCGUUGUCCGGAAUUAUUGGGCGUAAAGGGCUCGCAGGCGGUUCCUUAAGUCUGAUGUGAAAGCCCCCGGCUCAACCGGGGAGGGUCAUUGGAAACUGGGGAACUUGAGUGCAGAAGAGGAGAGUGGAAUUCCACGUGUAGCGGUGAAAUGCGUAGAGAUGUGGAGGAACACCAGUGGCGAAGGCGACUCUCUGGUCUGUAACUGACGCUGAGGAGCGAAAGCGUGGGGAGCGAACAGGAUUAGAUACCCUGGUAGUCCACGCCGUAAACGAUGAGUGCUAAGUGUUAGGGGGUUUCCGCCCCUUAGUGCUGCAGCUAACGCAUUAAGCACUCCGCCUGGGGAGUACGGUCGCAAGACUGAAACUCAAAUGAAUUUGACGGA
rnacentral:rRNA from 1 species